GACAGAGGGUGCAAACGUUGUUCGGAAUUACUGGGCGUAAAGCGCGUGUAGGCGGCAGCGUGUGUCGGGCGUGAAAUCCCACGGCUCAACCGUGGAAGUGCACCCGAAACUGCGCAGCUAGAGUCCUGGAGAGGAAGGCGGAAUACUUGGUGUAGAGGUGAAAUUCGUAGAUAUCAAGUGGAACACCGGUGGCGAAGGCGGCCUCUGGACAGUGACUGACGCUGAGACGGCGAAAGCG
rnacentral:rRNA from 1 species